rnacentral:rRNA from 1 species
CCUACGGGAGGCUGCAGUGGGGAAUAUUGGACAAUGGGCGAAAGCCUGAUCCAGCCAUGCCGCGUGUGUGAAGAAGGCCUUCGGGUUGUAAAGCACUUUCAGUGGGGAAGAAAGCCUUGGGGCUAAUACCCUCGAGGAAGGACAUCACCCACAGAAGAAGCACCGGCUAACUCCGUGCCAGCAGCCGCGGUAAUACGGAGGGUGCGAGCGUUAAUCGGAAUUACUGGGCGUAAAGCGCGCGUAGGCGGUCUGAUAAGCCGGUUGUGAAAGCCCCGGGCUCAACCUGGGAACGGCAUCCGGAACUGUCAGGCUAGAGUGCCGGAGAGGAAGGUAGAAUUCCCGGUGUAGCGGUGAAAUGCGUAGAGAUCGGGAGGAAUACCAGUGGCGAAGGCGGCCUUCUGGACUGACACUGACACUGAGGUGCGAAAGCGUGGGUAGCAAACAGGAUUAGAUACCCGAGUAGUC